GCCCUGGUGGCACAGUGGUUGAAUGCCUGUCUUGCAACCACAAGGUUGCGAGUUCAAUACUAGCCAGGGCU